UGAAAAUAAAUCAAUUCCAAGAAUGUAUUUCAGGUCGGUUAUGAAUGUACUCAUAGGAUACUUUGCGGUGAGUUUUUCAUGGAAAUAUAAUCACAAAACAAAGCCUUAGAGGAGUUUCAACUUUUCAGUUGCUUCUGGCAAUGACAUUUCGUAUAUCUGUUCCGCGGAUCCUCCGAUUGGAUGGGAUAAUCUACAUACAGAACUAUGCCACAACUGCAAUCGAUUUUUAUUUGGACAUAGCGAGCCUCAAUGUGAUUAUCAUUAUACUAUUUUUAGCUAGUUUUUGGCUGUUAGAUUUUACGUCUGAUUGGAUUGCUUUUUGGGUAGGUUGGAAUGAGAUUAAAGGUUGUUUUCCGCUCUUAAUGGCGAGCAGUAUAUACCGCUAUCAGCGUUGGCCAUGUAUUGGACACACUACACAUUUAAAGGUCGACUGAGAAAACUCUGGUUCAAGGUUGAAAUGGAAGAUCUGGCUGAGAAAUGGGUGAAAUAUAUCAAUACAAAUGACACCUACUGGACACACCUUGAAUUAAAGGUGAAAAAAUGGCAUUACUUGUGAGAUCUACUGCUAAUUUUUCACUGUAGCUUCACUGUUGUGGCCUUGAUGGACCACGUUGGUAUAUGCAUUACCUGCUCAGGCUGCCCCAAUCAUGCUAUAAUCCGCGUCUAGUAACCAAAGGAUGUCAAAGUGUUCUACAUGACACAUUCGAUUCGAUGCAUACCCUUGCUUAUAUGUUGUACGUUAGCGCUAUCCUGCUGGAGUAUAUUAUGCUGGUAUUUUAUGUGGC
rnacentral:lncRNA from 1 species